GAUGAACGCUAGCGGUGCGCUUAACACAUGCAAGUCGUGCGAUCGAACCGGACUGACCACCCUUCGGGGUACAAUGACCGGUCACGGAGCGGCGGACUGGUGAGUAACACGUAGCUAACCUGCCCUCUUGAUGGGGACAACCUUCUGAAAAGGAGGCUAAUACCCAAUAUUGUGCGGGGUCGAUGGACCCCGUUCCAAAGGCGGUUCUGCCGUCGCAAGGGGAGGGGGCUGCGCCCUAUUAGCUUGUUGGUAGGGUAAUGGCCUACCAAGGCGAUGAUGGGUAGCUGGUCUGAGAGGAUGACCAGCCACAUUGGGACUGAGAUACGGCCCAGACUCCUACGGGAGGCAGCAGUGGGGAAUAUUGGCCAAUGGACGAGGGGGUGAGCCAGCGACACCGCGUGGGGGAUGAAGGCUUUCGGGUCGUAAACUCCUUUUCUGGGGGAAGAACAAGGUCGAGAGGAAAUGCUCGUCCGAUGACGGUACCUCAGGAAUAAGCAUCGGCUAACUCCGUGCCAGCAGCCGCGGUAAGACGGAGGAUGCAAGCGUUAUCCGGAAUUACUGGGCGUAAAGGGCGUCUAGGCGGUCAGGUAAGUCACCUGUGAAAGCCCUCGGCUUAACCGAGGAAGGUCGGGUGAUACUGCUUGACUUGGGUGUAGAGAGGAGAGUGGAACUCACAGAGUAGCGGUGGAAUGCGUAGAUACUGUGAGGUACCCCGAUGGCGAAGGCAACUCUCUGGCUACUACCGACGCUGAAGCGCGAAAGCGUGGGGAGCAAAGGGGAUUAGAUACCCCCGUAGUCCACGCCCCAAACGAUGUUCACUUGGUGUCGGCCGCUUAUACAGGUCGGUGCCGAAGCUAACGCGUUAAGUGAACCGCCUGAGGAUUACGGCCGCAAGGCUAAAACUCAAGAGAAUUGACGGGUCCCCGCACAAGCGGUGGAGCACGUGGUUUAAUUCGAUGAUAAGCGAAGAACCUCACCUGGGCUUGACAUACUAGUGGUAGGAACUGGAAACAGGGACGACCCUGCUUCGGUAGGGAGCUAGUACAGGUGAUGCAUGGCUGUCGUCAGCUCGUGUCGU
rnacentral:rRNA from 1 species